GGUACAACUGUUCCACAAGACCCAAAGAUUUCCACGAAAUUAAAGCACCUGGGAUACUUACUAUCACCUUUACUUUAUUAACUGCAGACAAAUAGGGCCUGUUAACAGACCAGACAGCUUCAGCUAAUGGGACCCUUGGGAAAUACUGAUUUGCCAGCUUACCAAUGGCCUGUAGAAAAUUGAAGUGGGCAGGGAGCUGAGCUCUGAAGUUUUACUCUGUUUGGUAAAGAAAAAUAGAUAUAAGGGAGAUGGGAGUGAAAAAUCAAGCCUAAAAGCAGUGUAUGUUUAGUAUGUUAUUAUUAUUAUUUUUAAAGGCAUUAUUUAAAUAGUGAUUUGCUGUCUAUGUCAGUGUCUUUGUACCAAGCAGGGGGCACUAGGGUUACUUUACUGCAUUACCAUAGACUGUACCCUGAUAAUGGGUGGCACCAAUGGCUGUGUGCUUUGUGCCAAGGUAAUAAAACCACCACUGACUCUUAGUGCCAGUAAAAACAAUGCUUAAAAUACAGUUUUGCCUGUAUAACGGCAAAUAUUUGAUGUGUUUCCACCAGCACAGCUGUGCUGGUAAGACCCACAACGAACAGAUGCACCUGAGCAACACAGCCAUGCUGUGUUAAGGACACUGUGUUAAGGGCAUUGCUUUAACUGGCUGGGCUUUAGAGCAACCCACCAGGUUGUUCCUGACAGUACCGUUAGAUUUGUGUUGAAGAUAAACAGGAAUAUAGAGAUGAACAGAGCCAAGAGGCCCAGAGCAAUUGGCCCCUGGCUGAGGUCACUCAGAGGAGUCCUGGAAGCUCAAGGGCCUGACAUCCCUGACAGCUGCUAGGUUUGCAGAGGUCCUGUACUGAAACUGGAACUAGAUUAUAGUUCCUCAGCAUGACACGCUGGAGGUAGAACUCUGCCAUCUGAGUGUCGUUCCUUACCUGCUUUGUUCUUCAGCAGUGGACAGAAGGAUAAACUGCAGUAACAUUUCACCGAGGGACCAUUAAAGACUGGCAGUAAUGUUAAGAGUCUGCUUCUCAGCUGUGAGCCACCUGGAAAUUUUAUUAUUUAUCUGAGGGCUCAGAUUCUGUCUCUGCAGGCACCAUAACUUUGUCCCCUAGAAGCUCCUCUAAGAUGAAGACAGUUUCCCAGUUGCUAUAGUGAUGAGCUGGGAAAAUAUCUGAGUGCAUGCUGUCACCAAAAUAAACAACCUGUGAUGGAAUCAGCAAAUUAAAAGGUCUUUGUAUAUGAGGAAUACACAAGCAAACUGUACCUCACAGAGAGAGAAAAAGAGCUUUAAAACAACCUAAUAAAAAUUCCUCUGUGUUUACGGUUGGCCAUGACAAACACAGAUCUUGUUAAUGUCAUAGUUUGGAGUUUUAUCUUCAAUCAGUUCAGUGAGGAAAAGAACGGCUCUGCAUCCCCUCCUCUCUCUGGACACCCUCCAGGGGUGCCCGUUUGGGACUAAUCCACAGGACAGCACUGAGAUGUUUGACUGACAGAAGUAGCCUGCCAGAAAGCAGUAGAAAAGACGAAAAGGAAAAUGUACAGAGCAACUGGAAUGCUUUUUGGAUGACUGUGGAGACAAGGGAGAACACAGAGUGUCAUCUUGAUGAUUCAGAACUUUUCUGCACCCAAGUGGUAACCUAACCACUAUGGAAACUGGAGGCCACCUUUUCAUUUAUUUGAUCUAUUUCCUCAGGGAGAUUGAUUUUGUGAUGAUAAUCUGAUUCUCCACAGAACUAUAGAAAUGCAUGACCAUGCACUGAGAAGAAAACACCUUAGCUAGAAAGUUUAUGUUUACCAAUAAAAAAACCUUACAUACUCCUUCCAGUUUUGGACUGCAAUGUUUUAAACUUUUAACUCAUCAGGAAUAGUAUGAUGUUUUGGACUCUAGAACAGGGCCCAUCAUUACUAAAUAAUUGAGGAAUAGUUGAUUAACUGGAAGAUGAUGAAGAAGCAGGACACUUUAGUUGUAGUAUAUAACUCCUGAAGUUUUUGUCACACACCUAAAGAAGUAUCAACUGCAUCCCUUGCUUUCUUUUAGUACAGGGAGUGCACACAGAACUUUUCACCAUGAACAAGGCAGGAAAUAUUAUGCAGUGGGGAAGGUGUGGAGUAAACUUGCAUUGUGCAUUGAUAGGCUAUUGCUGUAAUCAUUAGUAAUGAAGCAGAACAAAACAGUCAGCUUUGAUGCAUAAUGGAAUUGCCCCACCCCAAAGCAGU